rnacentral:SRP_RNA from 1 species
CGGUGGGUCUUAGGCGGGGGGCUAGGGGUCCCCUAAACCAUAGAACCCCUAUAUGAUGGGCUGAGAUCCGGGGUGAGGCACCAAAGCUCAUCAAGGCUCGCCGGCUUUCUACCGGUGAGUAUCCGUCCCCUGGGGCCGGCGGUCGCGGUGCAGCCUUCGCAUGAAGGUUGUUUCCGCGUUCACCAGGUGAACCUGGCCAGGCCCGGGAGGGAGCAACCUAAGCUUGGACGUUCGGCGCUCAGGGGGUCGCGGAUAUGAGUGUAGAGGUGGGGGAGAUUGGUGAAGACUGGGUGUCGACCCCUGGUGACCCACCG